UACGAAGGGGGCUAGCGUUGUUCGGAAUUACUGGGCGUAAAGCGCGUGUAGGCGGGUCUUUUAAGUCAGGGGUGAAAUGCCAAGGCUCAACCUUGGAACUGCCUUUGAUACUGGAGAUCUUGAGUUCGGGAGAGGUGAGUGGAACUGCGAGUGUAGAGGUGAAAUUCGUAGAUAUUCGCAAGAACACCAGUGGCGAAGGCGGCUCACUGGCCCGAUACUGACGCUGAGGCACGAAAGCGUGGGGAGCAAACAGG
rnacentral:rRNA from 1 species